rnacentral:rRNA from 1 species
AAAUUGAAGAGUUUGAUCAUGGCUCAGAUUGAACGCUGGCGGCAGGCCUAACACAUGCAAGUCGAACGGUAGCACAGAGAGCUUGCUCUCGGGUGACGAGUGGCGGACGGGUGAGUAAUGUCUGGGAAACUGCCUGAUGGAGGGGGAUAACUACUGGAAACGGUGGCUAAUACCGCAUAACGUCGAAAGACCAAAGAGGGGGACCUUCGGGCCUCUUGCCAUCAGAUGUGCCCAGAUGGGAUUAGCUAGUUGGUGAGGUAACGGC